ACAAUAAGCAAAAUAAGGGCGUAUGGGGGAUGCCUAGGCUCUCAGAGGCGAAGAAGGACGUGAUAAGCUGCGAAAAGCUGCGGGGAUUGGCACAUACGAAUUGAUCCGCAGAUAUCCCAAUGGGGCAACCCACUAUGUUGAAGACAUAGUAUCCAAUAGGAGGCGAACCCGCUGAACUGAAACAUCUAAGUAGGCGGAGGAGAAGAAAACAAAAGUGAUUGCGUAAGUAGUGGCGAGCGAAAGCGCAUUAGCCCAAACCAGUGUUGUUACGGCAAUACUGGGGUUGUAGGACCACAAUAUUUCUUGUAAACCGAAUUAGAAUAACCUGGAAAGGUUAACCACAGAGGGUGAUAGUCCCGUAUAAGUAAGGAAUAUAAAGGAUAGUGGUAUCCUGAGUAGGGCGGGGCACGUGAAACCCUGUCUGAAUCUGGCGGGACCAUCCGCUAAGGCUAAAUACUCCUGAGAGACCGAUAGUGAACCAGUACUGUGAAGGAAAGGUGAAAAGAACCGUGAAUAACGGAGUGAAAUAGAACCUGAAACCAUACGCCUACAAGCGGUCGGAGCAGCAAAAGCUGUGACGGCGUGCCUUUUGCAUAAUGAGCCUACGAGUUAACGUUGCUGGCAAGGUUAAGCACUUCAGGUGCGGAUCCGUAGCGAAAGCGAGUCUGAAUAGGGCGCUUGAGUCAGUAAUGUUAGACGCGAAACCGUGUGAUCUACCCAUGGGCAGGAUGAAGCUGUGGUAACACAUAGUGGAGGUCCGAACCGGUUGACGUUGAAAAGUCUUCGGAUGACCUGUGGGUAGGGCUGAAAGGCCAAUCAAACUCGGAAAUAGCUCGUACUCCCCGAAAUGCAUUUAGGUGCAGCGCAGUGGUAGAGUUAUAUAGAGGUAGAGCUACUGAUUGGAUGCGGGGGCUUCACCGCCUACCAAUUCCUGACAAACUCCGAAUGCUAUAUAAUAUACACAGCAGUGAGGGCUGGGGUGCUAAGGUCCCAGUCCGAGAGGGAAAGAACCCAGACCAUCAGCUAAGGUCCCCAAAUGUAUACUAAGUUGAUCAAACGCGGUUUGAUUGCAUCGACAGCUAGGAUGUUGGCUUGGAAGCAGCCAUUCAUUUAAAGAGUGCGUAACAGCUCACUAGUCGAGCGAUCGAGCAUGGAUAAUAAUCGGGCAUAAGUAUACUACCGAAGCUAUGGAUUUGACAAAAGUCAAGUGGUAGGGGAGCAUUCUAACAUCGUAGAAGGGAUUCCGUGAGGAUUUCUGGAGAGGUUAGAAAAGAAAAUGUAGGCAUAAGUAACGAUAAGGGGUGCGAGAAACACCCCCGCCGUAAAACUAAGGUUUCCGCAGCUAUGCUAAUCAGCUGCGGCUUAGUCGGGACCUAAGGCGAAUCCGAAAGGAACAGUCGAUGGCCGGAUAGUGUACCUAAAGGCUGCCAAGAAAACCUUCUAAACAUAGAUUAUAAGUACCCGUACCGUAAACCGACACAGGUAGUUGAGGAGAGUAUCCUAAGGCGCUCGAGAGAUUCAUGGCUAAGGAAUUAGGCAAAAUAGACCUGGUACUUCGGGAGAAAGGUCGCCAGCGCAAGCUGGCCGCAGUGAAAAGGUCCAGGCGACUGUUUAUCAAAAACACAGGGCUCUGCCAAAUCGUAAGAUGAAGUAUAGGGCCUGACACCGUGCUGGAAGGUUAAGAGGAGAUGUUAUGAGCAAUCAGAAGCAUUGAAUUGAAGCCCCAGUAAACGGCGGCCGUAACUAUAACGGUCCUAAGGUAGCGAAAUUCCUUGUCGGGUAAGUUCCGACCUGCACGAAUGGUGUAACGAUCUGGACACUGUCUCAGCCAUGAGCUCGGUGAAAUUGUAGUAUCGGUGAAGAUGCCGAUUACCCGCAGUGGGACGAAAAGACCCUGUGCACCUUUACUAUAGCUUAGUAUUGACCUUGGAUAAGUGAUGUGUAGGAUAGGUGGGAGACUGUGAAAUGGCGUCGCUAGGCGUUGUGGAGUCAUUGUUGAAAUACCACCCUUUGCUUAUCUGAGGCCUAACUCCAUAUUGUGGAGGACAUUGCUUGGUGGGUAGUUUGACUGGGGUGGUCGCCUCCAAAAGAGUAACGGAGGCUUCUAAAGGUUCCCUCAGCACGCUUGGUAACCGUGCGUAGAGUGCAAUGGCAUAAGGGAGCUUGACUGAGAGACAUACAGGUCGAUCAGGUACGAAAGUAGAGCAUAGUGAUCCGGUGGUUCCGCAUGGAAGGGCCAUCGCUCAAAGGAUAAAAGGUACGCCGGGGAUAACAGGCUGAUCUCCCCCAAGAGCUCAUAUCGACGGGGGGGUUUGGCACCUCGAUGUCGGCUCGUCACAUCCUGGGGCUGGAGAAGGUCCCAAGGGUUGGGCUGUUCGCCCAUUAAAGUGGCACGCGAGCUGGGUUCAGAACGUCGUGAGACAGUUCGGUCUCUAUCUACUGUGGGCGUUAGAAAUUUGAGUGGAUCUGACUCUAGUACGAGAGGACCGAGUUGGACCAACCGCUGGUGUAUCUGUUGUUCCGCCAGGAGCACCGCAGAGUAGCUACGUUGGGAAGGGAUAAGCGCUGAAAGCAUAUAAGCGCGAAACCCACCACAAGAUGAGAUUUCUUUUAAGGGUCGUGGAAGAUGACCACGUUGAUAGGCUAUAGAUGUAAAGGCAGUAAUGUCACAGUCAAGUAGUACUAAUAACCCGUAAGCUUAUUGUA
rnacentral:rRNA from 1 species